CCUGUCCCGAACUACGUCGACUCUGAUGUCUGUGCCUGACAGACUACGUAGGCCCAGGAUGCGAUAUCCUGCCGAGUUAGUUUCUUUUGUCCGUCUGUGUUUCCUUCCAGCCUUGUGUGGUGUUUGAGCAGUUUUUUAGCAACCUUAUCCUUUCUUUCUGAGCGUGGAUCCCGUCGAGUACGACGGAUGCGUAGGGGUGCUAAUACCUUCCCUUCGCAUAACCGACUCCCGAUCCCAU
rnacentral:lncRNA from 1 species